rnacentral:lncRNA from 1 species
CAUUCUUGCUAGAUUGGACACUCUAUUGUCUAGCUAUAGGUGGGGGGUGAGAGUUGUGAUUAUGAUUUGGGAGCAAUGAAAAAGGAAAAGAAAUGACUCUUUGUGUUUAAGUGAAUUGUCUUAUUGGGAUAAGAAGAAAAACCUCUAGCUCAAGUUAUGAAAAGUCUUGGCCCCCAUCUAAAAAAAUAAAUAAAUAAAAAAAAAAUAUAUAUAUAUAUAAAAAGAAAAGAAAAAGGGGGCUAGCAAAGUUGUUAGGAGCUAAGUAAUGUUUUGAGGUUGUGGAAAAUCCCUUGUAGAUUUCAAAGAGAAGGAGUUAAAGUUCUUAAGAUCUUUUGGUGAGAGAUGUGAGUUGGGUUUGACAUUUGGGAAAGAUUGUGUAAUUGUAUGAUUGGGAAAAGGGUAGAACAAUGGAGAUUGAGCAUUGUAUGCAUGAGUUGAUCCAUUUCUUAGAUAUAUUAUGUGCAAUGUCAAGGCUACUUGUUUUG